rnacentral:rRNA from 1 species
CCCGCCGGCGACCGGCGCACGGGUGAGUAACACGUAUGCAGCCUGGCCGCCACAGGGGGAUAACCCGCGGAAACGCGGCCUAAUACCCCGUGACGCCACCGGAGGGCAUCCUCCGGUGGCCAAAGGAGCGAUCCGGUGGUGGAUGGGCAUGCGGCGCAUUAGGCAGUAGGCGGGGUAACGGCCCACCUAACCGACGAUGCGUAGGGGUUCUGAGAGGAAGGUCCCCCACACUGGUACUGAGACACGGACCAGACUCCUACGGAAGGCAGCAG